UUGUUCGCCAAAUAACUACGAGUAAAAACUUAAAAUUUAAAAGACUUGACGGUACUUCACAACACCCUAGAGGAGCCUGUCCAACAACCGAUACUCCACGAUUAACCCAACCCCAGCUAGCCAUUAACAGUCUAUAUACCGCCAUCGCCAGCUUACCUUGUAAAAGAAACAAAGUGGGCAUAACAGUAACCACUAAAACGAUAGGUCGAGGUGUAGCUUAUGCAGGGGACAAGAUGGGCUACAUUUUCUAACUCAGAAUAUACGAAUAAACCAUGAAAUUAGAAACUGAAGGCGGAUUUAGCAGUACAUUAGGCACAACAAACCUAACCGAAAUAAACGCAAUGAAGUGCGUACACACCGCCCGUCAUCCCUGCAAAACUUCCACACUCUUCCAUAAACAAUAUAAUAACCACAACCAGGGCAAGUCGUAAC
rnacentral:rRNA from 1 species